UGACACUCAUUUUUCCUUAUUUAUUUUUUGUUCUUUUGAUUUGCCCUAUAUUCUGGUUGUUGCUUUAGUAAUUAGAUGGGCAUGAUUUGUGAUUUAUAUGGCAGUAUCCUAAUUAUGUUUUUGAUGUUGCUUUAAAGCAGUAUCCUGAUUAUGGCCGACUGAUUUGCCCUAUAUUCUAGUUGUUGCUUUAAAGCUGUUCAAUUUUCUAGUUGAUCUUGUCAUUUCCAAUUUUUCAGGGCUUUGUGAGAUCCUUAUUAGCCAUUGGCAGAGCUUGGAUAUGCUGAAGCUAGUCCGUGUUGCCUUGGCGGUUCUCACAUAAAAAAGAAAGGAAGAAUUGACAUCAAAUGAGUAGUAACUGCUGCAGAGAAAGCUUACCAAGAAAAAGCACUAGUAGGUGGAAUCAGAACUAUGUGUUCUCAAAAUCAAAAGGAGAUGCUUAAGCUGCUAGUUACUGAUAUGAAGCCGCUUUCUGUUCGGGACAUUGUCCACAAUGGAGCCACUUUCCAGCUUUGUUGGCCGUCGUGAAUUGUGUGGCGAGCAAAUCGAAGAGUGCAUGAAGGGCAAUAUGAUUGAGCAUGCCGUUAGGGUAUUAUCCGGAAGCUUGGUAUUGCAAGUGUGGCAAUAAGCUCUUCAUGCCUAAGCUGUACCAAAAUUUUAUUCCUAGUUUUGUUUCACUUUGAAGCUCCUUUCUAUUUAGGUGGU